rnacentral:rRNA from 1 species
AACGAACGCUGGCGGCAGGCCUAACACAUGCAAGUCGAGCGAGGACUUCGGUCCUAGCGGCGGACGGGUGAGUAACGCGUGGGAACGUGCCCUUUGCUUCGGAAUAGCCCUGGGAAACUGGGAGUAAUACCGGAUGAGCCCUUUGGGGGAAAGAUUUAUCGGCGAAGGAUCGGCCCGCGUUGGAUUAGGUAGUUGGUGGGGUAAUGGCCUACCAAGCCGACGAUCCAUAGCUGGUUUGAGAGGAUGAUCAGCCACACUGGGACUGAGACACGGCCCAGACUCCUACGGGAGGCAGCAGUGGGGAAUCUGAGACAAUGGGGGAAACCCUGAUCUAGCCAGGCCGCGUGAGCGAUGAAGGCCUUAGGGUUGUAAAGCUCUUUCAGCUGGGAAGAUAAUGACGGUACCAGCAGAAGAAGCCCCGGCUAACUCCGG